AUCUGAUAAAAAGAAAAGAGAAAACAGUAAAAAAGAGCAAUAGAAUAUAUUCCAUUUUUUUCUAUGUCUGUUAUUAGAUUUCUGCUUGUGGAAAUACACUGAUUUGCAAAAAUGCUUCUGGUGGCAAAGGUUACAUCAGCCUUACUAGGUCAAGAGGCCUAGAAGUCUGCUGGCCAGGUCAGCACAGCACCCUCUACUCACCAUGCAGGUGCUUAUGGAGGUUUAGGGAAGUGGAGUUCUGUAAGGGGAGGGGGCCUCCAGGGAUCAAGGCACUCACCGUUCAGAACUGCUCCAGAAUUAAUUUCCAUGGCCGGCAUCACUCCCAGGCUGUUUCCAAACUUGCCUGAUCAUAAGAACCAUCUGAGGGCUUGUUAAAAGUACUGAUUCAAAGCCUCUUUUCUGAAGAUUCUGAUUCUGUAGAUCUGGUAUAGAACUUGGGGAACAGCUUUUAACAAGUACCCUGGUGGUUCAUGUCAGGCAAGUUUAGGAAACAGACCAACAGUAGAGUCCAGGCACCUUUCAACUGCAGACAGGGCUUUCUGUGGUCUUGCUGCAGAUUCCACUGUUAGCUCCAGACACACACUGGUUUGUGCUGCCCUGUCACACAACUCCAGGCCUUGACUCCUUGCUAUGCACACUGCCUAGUGGCUGUCUGCCGUCUUCAACAGUCUUCCCCACGUCUUAGGACAGUGCAGGCAUUGUUUCCUUGUGUUUCUGGAACACCUGCUCUUGCUUCUAACAAAAGAACAGCACUUAAGUUUAUUACAAUUAUUGGUUUACCUUCUGUGAUCCCAUUUUCUGCUUUAUACUUUUCAUAGGAUGUUUACCCCAUACUCCUCAAUUUGAAUGAAAGCGCUGGGAAGGGGGACUCUGCCUGGACUAAGCUGUGUCCCAGGCUUCUACAAGAGGCCCUGGCCUACAGUAGGUGCUCAGUAGAUAUUUGUGAAUUAAAUUCUGUCUGUGGCACUAGACUGCGAGCCAGUCUUUAAUCUCUGCAAUCCUAGCACCUUGCUCAGUGUCUGUCACUCUAAUGAUAGUUGGAUGAAUCACUGAGAUAUUUGACUUCAUAACCAGGUUUCGGUCCACUCAGCGCUCUUAGUGAGGAAGAAUUAGGCAAAUACAACCCUGAAAGGGAAAAAAGGAGCCAAAUGGGGGAACAGCAUGGAAACCUGGAAAAGAGCAGAGGAAACAGACACAUAGAGACUGGACAAUGGUGGGGACCAGGGGAAGUUGUCUUAGUCCUGAUGGUAAGAAAGGUAUCAAGAAGGGGAUAAUUGUUGAUUGUUUCUAAACAACUCAAUUCUUGUUGGUAGUUUCCAAAGACAGCCCAGAGAUCACCCAGGGCCAUCUCCACAACCUGCCCUCCCCUUGAAAUGGCUCUGCACACAGUCUAACCCAGAGAGAGCAUUAACCCAGUACCAUGGUUAGGAGGGCGGAUUCUAGAGUCAGAGGACCAGGUCUCCAAUCCUAGUCCCACGCCUGACUGACUUUUUCCUGGGGCAAAACGUUCAAAUCCCCUACUACCCCAGCCUCCUCAUCUGUAAAAGGCUGUAUGUACUAAUGGUACCUGAUCCUAGGGCUGUUGUGAUAAAU
rnacentral:lncRNA from 1 species